CAGGGCCUCGAAUUUUGUCGGCCCGGCCCUGGCGAUGAGGUGCCAAGGCUUUGAGCAACUCAUGGAGGAGAUGAAGCAGCUGGUUUUGCAGAUACAGAAGGAGAAAGGAACAAACAGUGAGAACGUGGAGCUCGUCGUGGAGAGGAGCAUGCGGAAGCUGUCGAGCAGCAAGGACCUGCUGGAGGUGCUCCGGGACCGGUGGGCGGCGGACAUGGAAGGAGCUGAUCUACUUCGGCUGGAUCACGGCGUGCCUGCAGCACGACCUCCUGGCCAGCGAUGGCGAGGGCGGGACCGCCAAGGGCACGGCGGUGACAGGAGACGACGACGGUGAAACUAUCCCGACGGCGGAGGGGCAGCGCAAGAAGGGGAUGAAGAUGGUGGCGGCCGCCGCGCCGAGCAACGAGGUGAAGCUCUGCAAGACGUCGUCGUGCGGCGCGGCAGAGGAGUCGUGCAUGGGGUUGGCGGGCUGCAGGAUAGGAAUCGGACGGCCGAGAUUGCUCCGCAAGCUCAGAGGGUGGGCCAGGGGAAAGGGCCCAAGCAAGAGCAGGAGCCAUCGAAGGGCCCAGCAGUGUCCCAAAUCUUCUAAAAAAAGCAGUGACUCCUAAAUAGUUCAUUGAUGCUGAUUAAUUAGCUUGUGAUCACGUGAGAAUAAUGUAUGUUUGAUCUCAAAAAAAUUGUGAGAAUAAUGUAUGUUUGAUCUCAAAAAAAAUGUGAGAAUAACGUAUGUUUGAGUCA